rnacentral:rRNA from 1 species
CACGUAGGGGGCAAGCGUUGUCCGGAAUCAUUGGGCGUAAAGCGCGUGUAGGCGGUUCGGUAAGUCGGCUGUGAAAGGCAAGGGCUCAACCCUUGAAAGCCGGUUGAUACUGUCGGGCUAGAGUCCGGAAGAGGCGAGUGGAAUUCCCGGUGUAGCGGUGAAAUGCGCAGAUAUCGGGAGGAACACCAAUGGCGAAGGCAGCUCGCUGGGACGGUACUGACGCUGAGACGCGAAAGCGUGGGGAGCAAACAGG